rnacentral:tRNA from 1 species
GAGGGUAUAGCUUAAGUGGUAGGGCACAUGCUUAGCAUGCGUGAGGUCUAGGGUUCAGUCCCCAGUACCUCCU